GUACGGGGGGGGCAAGCGUUUGUUCGGAAUUACGUGGGCGGUAAAGGGCUCGUAGGUGGCCAACUAAGUCAGACGAUGAAAUCCCUCGGCUUAACCGGGGAAACUGCAUCUGAUACUGGAUGGCUUGAGAUUGGGAGAGGGAUGCGGAAUUCCAAGGUGUAGCGGUGAAAUGCGUAGAUAUCUGGAGGAACACCGGUGGCGAAGGCGGCAUCCUGGACCGAGAUUGACGCUGAGGCGGCGAAAAGCGUGGGGAGACAAACGGG
rnacentral:rRNA from 1 species